rnacentral:tRNA from 1 species
CAAGACGUAGCUUAAUUUAAAGCAUCUCGCUUACACCGAGAAAAUAUAUGUUAGACCCUAAUCGUCUUGA